rnacentral:lncRNA from 1 species
AGUUUUUCAUGUUUUUAAUCCUCCAAGUUUUUGAGAUCGAGAGUCAAUUCCUGCUCGAAGAACAUGUAUAUAGCUUCCAUUUGCCAUCAGCUGGGUCCUCCCAUCAAAAUAAAUGGAAGCAGAAAAUGCUUUAGUGAAACAAAGGAAAUGUGCAAGCAUUUUUUCUUUUUCUAUUUUCCUACUUCCCCCUUUUCCUUCUGGUUCUCUUAUAACCUGAACCUCAGACGAAGGACUGCAACAACACCAGGAUGGGGAGCGGGUCACCCGGAUCAAAGCGCAAUCAAGAUGACAUCACUCCCUGGAACUGCAUUUCGACUCCCCAACUCCCGGCCUCAUAACAGGAACUCAUGCAGGGAUUUUUUCUGCUCCAUGUUUCCUCCAUUAACAGCAAUGGGAUAUACUUUGGGAGAAUACAGGCCAAUUGAAUGAUGUUUCUGCCAUAUGAAUUGUCCCAAAUGAGGUAAGCAGAAUAAUAUGGCAUUCGGUUGAGCAAUUUUUUUCUGUUUUUGGAUAACAU